GGUUUUAUUUUCAAAUCAAGAGGGUUUCUAUGGAAUUUUGAUUACCAUGGAUGAGGAUUACAGUGAAGAGAUGGGUUCUGUGAAUCGAGAUAUCCGAGAAGAACAAAUGGGAUCUACUGCUAUGAUUGAUAGAGAAUUCGAGAGUUAUUACAAAUCAGAGGAGAUGGGUUGGUGGUUGAUGCUUAAUGGAAAUGGGUAAUGUGCUGGUAGUUAGGUCAAGAAAUUGGAGAUUAAGGUUUGGUGAAAUUGAAUUCACAGAGAGGAGAUGAUUAACUGAAAUUGAAGUUGAGGUUCGAUUUGAAAUGGUUUUAGGUUCACAAACGAGAUGGUGUUGUUGUUGAGCAAAGAAGAAAGAGGAGAAGUUUCUGCUGCUGCAGGUGAAAUUGGUGGAAGAAGGAGAUGGAUCUGGUGGCAGUGAUGAGUAUCUGAAACUGGUAGUGAGAUGAGAUUUGAGGUUGAUGUUUCUAAGCAGAGAAGUGGUGUGACUGUGCAUAUGAGAAGAAUUGGAGGCCCUUGUAACUACUUUGUCCAGGUUUCCGAUCGGACCCAAUUGCUUUCUCCUAUCAGGGUAAUGAUGUCUCAUUGAAGAAGGCACUUACUGCUGUUCAGAUAUGGUCAUGGCUAUGUAGCUUUAAUCAUUUACGCGUCUUGGUGUCCUUUCUCUAGAAGUACUAGGACAACUUUUUCUGCCUUGUCUUCCUUGUAUCCCUCCAUCCAGCAUCUUGAAUUGAAGAACUGAGAUUGUUGCAAUUGCUAAACUGCAAUAGACUAAGACAGUGGUCACUAGUUAAGCAAUGGCUAGGUGCAGCUGAGGAAUCAAGGUUGUUGCAGGUGCAGUGGUAGUAUAAUUGCGGAUUGAAGUUGAGAACAAAUGCAAGAUUUGUUGUAUGUGCUGGUCCUGCAAGCAAGGAAGUAAUGGAAUGUAUGAGUUGAGUGUUAGAACUGAGAUUUGAGUUGUGGUCAGCUGAGACAUGGUUUUGAAGCUGAGUUUACAAAGUAAGGGAAUGUGCAAAAUGGUUUGUGUGGAACUGCAGGUGGUCAUUGCAGUAGAAGAUGUUUGUGGUUGAUCUUGGUGGUGAUUUAAGACAGGAAAAUUGGUGGUUAUAUGCCUUGGUCUGGGGUUGUUCUUGCCAUGGAUGUGCAUAAUGGUUUGAGUAUGGGUUUGCGAAGAAGUUGAAUUCAAAAGAUGAGCUCAGGGAAAGAUUGAUGUUGGAGGAAAUUCAAGGGUUUGAGUAUUCUGUGAUGCAGUGGGAGUUGGCUGAGAAAGGAGGAAAUUGUGGACAGAAUUGCAGGCAUGAAUUGUUGUGGUGAUGUUAUUGAUAUCAAACAGGUGUUGGUGGUGGUUGCAAACAGUUCUCAUGGCUAUGAUCAGUGAAGAUUGAGCUGUGCCACAGUUGCUGAUGUGGAUCUGGAAUUGGUGACGUGUACAAAGUCCGCCUGGCAUACCCGAGUCCACAUGUACAGAGUCAACCCGUCUAGUUGGGUUCAAAUUAGCAAUUCAAAGGACUAAUAAGUCUUUUUAUUUCCGCUUAACGGUGCUAACUUUCCAUCCAUUAAUUUUGGUCAAAUAAGGCCUAAUUUUGUAAACCAUAAAAAAACAGGCCUAGAUUUAUAAAACACCCAAUGAAAAUUUACAUUUGUGCUUCAGGCAA